rnacentral:lncRNA from 12 species
GUUGUUAUUAGCUGAGAGUUUUGGUUAUGUAUCAUGAGACAAAGCUUGUGACUCACACCAAAUGUACAGUAUGGGAGUGGGCAACCCUACAGAGGCCAGUGUUUGUUGGUGAGUGAAGACAUUUGGUAACACAGUGAAGUAUCAGGAGCUGAAACCUGUCCAUAUUCUCAAGAAUGCAUAGGAGUUGCAAAACAGGUAUCUUUUGACAACUGCUUCUAUGUUUCACUGAUGAAUAGAUGUUUCUGAGUAUGUACUUAAAAAUAUUCAGGUCGGUAAAAAUAAUAUUCUUAAGAAAAACAUAAUUUGACACAAAAAGAGGUAUUUAUGAAUAAUUCAAUUUUAAAUGGUUUAAACAAAUCUAAAGUAAUUCAUGCUUUUUUGCAGUAUAUUCACUGAAAUUAGGCACUGGGAGAACAAGUCAUCCUCUUCUUCGUCUUCACUGACUGUUUUGAUUGAAGUGUGCAUUUUGAACGCGGGCAGAGUAGUGUGCUUGAGGCGGGAUUGAGUUGUUGCGGCAGGA